CUACGGGAGGCUCCAGUGGGGAAUCUUAGACAAUGGGGGCAACCCUGAUCUAGCCAUGCCGCGUGAUCGAUGAAGGCCUUAGGGUUGUAAAGAUCUUUCAGCUGGGAAGAUAAUGACGGUACCAGCAGAAGAAGCCCCGGCUAACUCCGUGCCAGCAGCCGCGGUAAUACGGAGGGGGCUAGCGUUGUUCGGAAUUACUGGGCGUAAAGCGCACGUAGGCGGACCAGAAAGUUGGGGGUGAAAUCCCGGGGCUCAACCUCGGAACUGCCUCCAAAACUCCUGGUCUUGAGUUCGAGAGAGGUGAGUGGAAUUCCGAGUGUAGAGGUGAAAUUCGUAGAUAUUCGGAGGAACACCAGUGGCGAAGGCGGCUCACUGGCUCGAUACUGACGCUGAGGUGCGAAAGCGUGGGGAGCAAACAGGAUUAGAUACCCGCGUAGUC
rnacentral:rRNA from 1 species